rnacentral:rRNA from 1 species
AGAAUCAACGCUGGCGGCGUGCCUAACACAUGCAAGUCGAACGAGAAAGUGGAGCAAUCCAUGAGUAAAGUGGCGCACGGGUGAGUAACACGUGACUAACCUACCCUUGAGUGGGGGAUAACCUAGAGAAAUCUGGGCUAAUACCGCAUAAUACCUUCGGGUCAAAGGAGCAAUUCGCUUAAGGAGGGGGUCGCGGCCGAUUAGUUAGUUGGCGGGGUAAUGGCCCACCAAGACUGUGAUCGGUAUCCGGCCUGAGAGGGCGCACGGACACACUGGAACUGAAACACGGUCCAGACUCCUACGGGAGGCAGCAGUGGGGAAUUUGCGCAAUGGGGGAAACCCUGACGCAGCAACGCCGCGUGGAGGAUGAAGUCCCUUGGGACGUAAACUCCUUUCGAUCGGGACGAUUAUGACGGUACCGAGAGAAGAAGCCCCGGCUAACUUCGUGCCAGCAGCCGC